rnacentral:rRNA from 1 species
AUUGAACGCUGGCGGCAUGCCUUACACAUGCAAGUCGAACGGCAGCAUGAUCUAGCUUGCUAGAUUGAUGGCGAGUGGCGAACGGGUGAGUAAUACAUCGGAACGUGCCCUGUAGUGGGGGAUAACUAGUCGAAAGAUUAGCUAAUACCGCAUACGACCUGAGGGUGAAAGUGGGGGACCGCAAGGCCUCAUGCUAUAGGAGCGGCCGAUGUCUGAUUAGCUAGUUGGUGAGGUAAAGGCUCACCAAGGCGACGAUUAGUAGCUGGUCUGAGAGGACGAUCAGCCACACUGGGACUGAGACACGGCCCAGACUCCUACGGGAGGCAGCAGUGGGGAAUUUUGGACAAUGGGGGCAACCCUGAUCCAGCAAUGUCGCGUGUGUGAAGAAGGCCUUCGGGUUGUAAAGCACUUUUGUCCGGAAAGAAAUCGCACUUACUAAUAUUAGGUGUGGAUGACGGUACCGGAAGAAUAAGGACCGGCUAACUACGUGCCAGCCGCCGCGGUAAGAC